rnacentral:rRNA from 1 species
UACGAAGGGGGCUAGCGUUGCUCGGAAUUACUGGGCGUAAAGCGCACGUAGGCGGAUCUUUAAGUCAGGGGUGAAAUCCUGGAGCUCAACUCCAGAACUGCCUUUGAUACUGCGGUGCUUGAGGACUGGAGAGGAGACUGGAAUUUACGGUGUAGCAGUGAAAUGCGUAGAGAUCGUAAGGAAGACCAGUGGCGAAGGCGGGUCUCUGGACAGUUCCUGACACUGAGGCACGAAGGCCAGGGGAGCAAACGGG